AUUGAACGCUGGCGGCAUGCUUUACACAUGCAAGUCGAACGGUAACAGGCCGCAAGGUGCUGACGAGUGGCGAACGGGUGAGUAAUGCAUCGGAACGUGCCCGGUAGUGGGGGAUAACUGCUCGAAAGAGCAGCUAAUACCGCAUACGACCUGAGGGUGAAAGGGGGGGAUCGCAAGACCUCUCGCUAUUGGAGCGGCCGAUGUCGGAUUAGCUAGUUGGUGGGGUAAGGGCCCACCAAGGCGACGAUCCGUAGCUGGUCUGAGAGGACGACCAGCCACACUGGGACUGAGACACGGCCCAGACUCCUACGGGAGGCAGCAGUGGGGAAUUUUGGACAAUGGACGCAAGUCUGAUCCAGCCAUGCCGCGUGCGGGAAGAAGGCCUUCGGGUUGUAAACCGCUUUUGUCAGAGAAGAAAUCUUCUGGGUUAAUACCUCGGGAGGAUGACGGUAUCUGAAGAAUAAGCACCGGCUAACUACGUGCCAGCCGCCGCGGUAAAAC
rnacentral:rRNA from 1 species